rnacentral:rRNA from 1 species
UGAAUACGAGAUGCUACGGCGUCGAAGCAGUCUAUGUCAUACUUCCAAGAAAAGCUCGCACUGUCAUAAACAAAUAAUGCCUGUACCAUAACCGACACAGGUGGGUAGGUAGAGUAUACUAAGGGGCGCGAGAUAACUCUCUCUAAGGAACUCGGCAAAAUGACUCCGUAACUUCGGGAGAAGGAGUGCCUUAUUUAUAAGGUUGCAAUAACAAGAUCCAAGCAACUGUUUAUCAAAAACACAGGUCUCCGCUAAGUCGUAAGACGAUGUAUGGGGGCUGACGCCUGCCCAGUGCCAGAAGGUUAAAGAAGUUGGUUAGCAUUCGCGAAGCUGAUAACUGAAGCCCUGGUGAACGGCGGCCGUAACUAUAACGGUCCUAAGGUAGCGAAAUUCCUUGUCGGGUAAGUUCCGACCCGCACGAAAGGCGUAAUGAUUUGGAUACUGUCUCGGAGAGGGGCUCGGUGAAAUAGACUUGUCUGUGAAGAUGCGGACUACCUGCACCAGGACAGAAAGACCCUAUGAAGCUUUACUGUAACUUGAGAUUGAAAUUGGACUUUACUUGCGCAGUAUAGGUGGGAGGCGUUGAUAAUAUUCUUGCGGGAUUAUUUGAGCCAUCAGUGAGAUACCACUCUUGUAAUGUUAGAUUUCUAACUUUGUAUCAUUAUCUGGUCAAAGGACAGUUUCAGGCGGGCAGUUUGACUGGGGCGGUCGCCUCCUAAACGGUAACGGAGGCGCACAAAGGUUUCCUCUGAACGGGUAGAAAUCGUAUCUAGAGUGUAAAGGCAUAAGGAAGCUUGACUGUGAGACCUACAAGUCGAGCAGGGACGAAAGUCGGUCUUAGUGAUCUGACGGUGCUGAGUGGAAAGGCCGUCACUCAACGGAUAAAAGUUACUCUAAGGAUAACAGGCUGAUCUCCCCCAAGAGUUCACAUCGACGGGGAGGUUUGGCACCUCGAUGACGGCUCAUCGCAUCCUGGGGCGGUAGUACGUCCCAAGGGUUGGGCUGUUCGCCCAUGAAAGCGGUACGCGAGCUGGGUUCAGAACGUCGUGAGACAGUUCGGUCCAUAUCCGGUGUAGGCGUUAGAAUAUUGAGAGGAGCCUUCUUUAGUACGAGAGGACCGAGAAGGACAUACCUCUGGUGUACCAGUUAUCGUGCCAACGGUAAACGCUGGGUAGCUAUGUAUGGAGUGGAUAACCGCUGAAAGCAUCUAAGUGGGAAGCCCACCUCAAGAUAAGUAUUCU